rnacentral:rRNA from 1 species
CCCUUAGAUGUUCUGGGCCGCACGCGCGCUACACUGAUUCAUGCAACAAGUUUUGUCCUUGGCUGAUAGGCCUGGGUAAUCUUUGAACGUGAAUCGUGAUGGGGAUAGAUGAUUGCAAUUAUUCAUCUUCAACGAGGAAUUCCUAGUAAACGCAAGUCAUCAGCUUGCAUUGAUUACGUCCCUGCCCUUUGUACACACCGCCCGUCGCACCUACCGAUUGAAUGGUCCGGUGAAAUCUUCGGAUCUGAGAGAUGUCUGAUUAAUUUCGGACGCCUUUUGGAAAAGUUGCUUCAACCUUACCAUUUAGAGGAAGGUGAAGUCGUAACA